rnacentral:rRNA from 1 species
AUUGAACGCUGGCGGCAGGCCUAACACAUGCAAGUCGAGCGAGCGGCGGACGGGUGAGUAAUGUAUGGGGACUGCCCGAUAGAGGGGGAUAACUACUGGAAACGGUAGCUAAUACCGCAUACUAUCGGAUAACCCAUAUGGGACUAGCUAUUAGGUAGGGUAAUGGAUCACCUAGGCGACGAUCCCUAGCUGGUCUGAGAGGAUGAUCAGGCACACGGGGACUGAGACACGGCCCAGACGCCGACGGAGGCAGCAGUAGGGAAAAUUGCACAAUGGGCGCAAGCCUGAAGCAGCCAGGCCGCGUGUAUGAAGAAGGCCCUAGGGUUGUAAAGUUCUUUCAGUCGGAAGGCGUUACCGACAGAAGAAGCACCGGCUAACUCCGUGCCAGCAGCCGCGGUAAUAC